rnacentral:rRNA from 4 species
AGAGUUUGAUCAUGGCUCAGAUUGAACGCUGGCGGCAGGCCUAACACAUGCAAGUCGAACGGUAACAGGAAGCAGCUUGCUGCUUCGCUGACGAGUGGCGGACGGGUGAGUAAUGUCUGGGAAACUGCCUGAUGGAGGGGGAUAACUACUGGAAACGGUGGCUAAUACCGCAUAACGUCGCAAGACCAAAGAGGGGGACCUUCGGGCCUCUUGCCAUCAGAUGUGCCCAGAUGGGAUUAGCUAGUUGGUGAGGUAACGGCUCACCAAGGCGACGAUCCCUAGCUGGUCUGAGAGGAUGACCAGCCACACUGGAACUGAGACACGGUCCAGACUCCUACGGGAGGCAGCAGUGGGGAAUAUUGCACAAUGGGCGCAAGCCUGAUGCAGCCAUGCCGCGUGUAUGAAGAAGGCCUUCGGGUUGUAAAGUACUUUCAGCGGGGAGGAAGGUGUUGUGGUUAAUAACCGCAGCAAUUGACGUUACCCGCAGAAGAAGCACCGGCUAACUCCGUGCCAGCAGCCGCGGUAAUACGGAGGGUGCAAGCGUUAAUCGGAAUUACUGGGCGUAAAGCGCACGCAGGCGGUCUGUCAAGUCGGAUGUGAAAUCCCCGGGCUCAACCUGGGAACUGCAUUCGAAACUGGCAGGCUUGAGUCUUGUAGAGGGGGGUAGAAUUCCAGGUGUAGCGGUGAAAUGCGUAGAGAUCUGGAGGAAUACCGGUGGCGAAGGCGGCCCCCUGGACAAAGACUGACGCUCAGGUGCGAAAGCGUGGGGAGCAAACAGGAUUAGAUACCCUGGUAGUCCACGCCGUAAACGAUGUCUACUUGGAGGUUGUGCCCUUGAGGCGUGGCUUCCGGAGCUAACGCGUUAAGUAGACCGCCUGGGGAGUACGGCCGCAAGGUUAAAACUCAAAUGAAUUGACGGGGGCCCGCACAAGCGGUGGAGCAUGUGGUUUAAUUCGAUGCAACGCGAAGAACCUUACCUGGUCUUGACAUCCACAGAACUUUCCAGAGAUGGAUUGGUGCCUUCGGGAACUGUGAGACAGGUGCUGCAUGGCUGUCGUCAGCUCGUGUUGUGAAAUGUUGGGUUAAGUCCCGCAACGAGCGCAACCCUUAUCCUUUGUUGCCAGCGGUCCGGCCGGGAACUCAAAGGAGACUGCCAGUGAUAAACUGGAGGAAGGUGGGGAUGACGUCAAGUCAUCAUGGCCCUUACGACCAGGGCUACACACGUGCUACAAUGGCGCAUACAAAGAGAAGCGACCUCGCGAGAGCAAGCGGACCUCAUAAAGUGCGUCGUAGUCCGGAUUGGAGUCUGCAACUCGACUCCAUGAAGUCGGAAUCGCUAGUAAUCGUGGAUCAGAAUGCCACGGUGAAUACGUUCCCGGGCCUUGUACACACCGCCCGUCACACCAUGGGAGUGGGUUGCAAAAGAAGUAGGUAGCUUAACCUUCGGGAGGGCGCUUACCACUUUGUGAUUCAUGACUGGGGUGAAGUCGUAACAAGGUAACCGUAGGGGAACCUGCGGUUG